rnacentral:rRNA from 1 species
UACGAAGGGGGCUAGCGUUGCUCGGAAUCACUGGGCGUAAAGGGCGCGUAGGCGGCCGAUUAAGUCGGGGGUGAAAGCCUGUGGCUCAACCACAGAAUUGCCUUCGAUACUGGUUGGCUUGAGACCGGAAGAGGACAGCGGAACUGCGAGUGCAGAGGUGAAAUUCGUAGAUAUUCGCAAGAACACCAGUGGCGAAGGCGGCUGUCUGGUCCGGUUCUGACGCUGAGGCGCGAAAGCGUGGGGAGCAAACAGG